rnacentral:lncRNA from 1 species
AAUAACAAUCAGAUUCAGUUUGCUUUUUACUAGAAAACAAACUGGUCACAAGAUAAGGUCACUGCAACAAAAAAUAUUUCAUAUUUCAUUCUGAAUAUUUCAUGGUAACUCUAUAUACACAAUCAUUAAUUGAUGGGUAUAAUUUAAUAAUCAAUAACAGUUAUUCUUCAAUGUAAUACAUAUAUAAAAUAAAACACUCUGUGUCUGAAUGGGCAUAGUGUUUAAGUUUCCAAUUUUGAAUACAGAAUGGAACAAUUUCAAUUCAACAGAAAUAUAGUUUUGCAUUAUAGGUAUGACAGGUAUCAAGCAUUGAUGUUUUAACUGCAAUAAAUUUACAAUCUACUAGAAGUAAAAGAUUAUUAACAUUUUCUAGAUAAGGUAAACCCUUCUAAGUAUGGAAUUCUGAUGUAUUUUAGAGAGCACUUCCUAACACAGCCAAAUGAAUGAUGAUUGACAAUAACAAUACAAGGGAUUGAGAAGUUGUAUCUCUGUGAUGAAUAUCACCUUCCUUUUUUUCAUGAGUUUUGGUUAUGCUGUUAUCUGACAGGUGUACCUACCAGUACCUUGUUAAUUGUAUGUCAACAGAAUUUCAUAGUCAUUUGGUUGAAUUACAUCUCUACAUAUAACUGAAAAUAUUCAUUCCAUACAAAACUUUUCUGUUGAUACUGUGAAAGUACUUAAAUUCGUGGGUAUCAAUGUUCGUGGUUUGAACAGUAUUUACAUGUUCGUGGGUUUUUAAAUGCGUGGAUUUUAGUUUUCUAUAAAAAAAAAUUGAAAUUAAAGCCUUUAGAAACGAAGGUAACAAAUAUAAGUCUUGAUUGAAGGAAAUUGCAAAGUAAACAUUGACCUGGUAGUGAUAACACUAAUUAACCCAUGAUAAAGUGAUCACCAUAUUAAAGACCAUCAAAGGUGUUAAUUAGGCCAUAAACAUGGCACCUAAAAAAACAGUAUUAUAAACAAAUGCUAUAAACGUAUUUUGAAUUGUCAAAUAAUUCUUAUCAAAAUCAAG